UUGCAGUGAUGAAAGUGUUUUCCAAAGCCAUUCGUAGUUUCCACUAGAAGUCGAAAGACUCGUGUUAGUCCAAGUACCUUCCUUGGAUGUCUGAGCGA